UCAAAGACUGUAUAGAUCUCAGAUUGAGAACUACUGGUUGAAUGCUUUGGAGAAGGUCUGGGCUCCAUGCUUUGGAAGAGUUCAGAGUCUGGAAUCAAGAGGUGGACCCUUCUGAGAUCUCUUUAAUUUUUUCGUUGUCCCUGUGGAAGUGGGACAAGUCCCUCUUGAAUGGCGACAUCCAAGCUUCUUUGAUGGUGAACAGCCUGGAUCUCUCCUCAUGGCAGCUGUAGGAAACACAGGAACUCCGUGACCUGGAAAAUGUGGGACAACUGCCACAAGGUGACCCUGGAAGGCUGGGUUUUCUCCUCAGGGUGGAAGGAGGACUGUGCUGGCUGUGCUCCAGAUCUCUUACCAGUUUUUUUCUUUUUGAAAAUGGAGAGUCCCUACAAGAUUUUAAAUGAAGAAAGUCUUCCACUGCUGUAUAAAGAAAAAAAGAAAAAAAGAAAAAGAAAGGUACUCACAGC